UUCCGGCUGGCGAGUCGCAAACAGGACGAAACGCGCGGCCUGGAU
rfam:Schistosoma haematobium scaffold1146_8, whole genome shotgun sequence.